AUGAAACAAAGUGUUGGUCACUCAAUCGACGCAUUAAACGCUAUCGAGCUCGCGAGACAGUGUCAUCAAAAAGAUGCUUUGCAUAAAUGAUCAUUCAGCGCGCAUAUCGUUUUAGCCUCGGCGAGUUUCGUCGUGUCAUUCUGUCAUCGAGAGCUCAAAUCGUGUUAUUGAUCAUCCGAUUUGUUUACGCGUGUAAGAAUACACGCUCAGGUAUAUUUCAUUCUGAUGCGAUCGAGCCUAUAUAUGAAUCUGCGAAUCCCCGCUUUAUCUUAUCGUGAGUCACACUGCUAGUCUAACACGUAUCUCAUAUCUAUACGCUGUUUUUAUCAGCGAUCCUUUCGAUGCGCAUAUAUAAUUGUAACGCCGAGAUUAGAUCGUAUAGUUACUUUUUAAGUACGAGUGCCAAUCGUUUUUUUUUUUCUCACUUUUUUAAGUAAUAAUAACGUGCAAUAUUUGCCGAGCUGCGUUGGAAAAUAAUAGCCAUAAUACUGCGCAUAUUCGUUUAACUUCUUUAUGGCAAAGAACUCCUGUACUCUAAUUUAUGGAUUUUUCACGGAUAUAAAUAAUCAUUAUUCAAGAGUAUUUUACCCUACAUAAUGCUAAUUCAUUUGUAUCGAGUUACAUAAUCGAAGAGCACAAAAUCCUCCUGAGCCUACGCCUACAGCACCAUAAUUCGAAUUAGAAGUUAUGAAUUUCACCGAAGAAAUGCGUUAUAGCGUGAGUAUAGAGUUAUGCUACAGGUAGACACGUUUAAGAAAGGCGGAAAGGAAGGAGAUACGAGCGAAGGAAAUAUCAUUCAGGCGCCAGGUUAACGUAACGCGCGCGUCUUCUUCUAAGUAUGACGCCGAGUAUGUAGUGCAUCGAUGCUGUGAACUAUUAAACGUGAGAGAGAGAGAGAGAGAGAAAAAAAAACAGGAUAAAAAGGAGUUAGUCUACCUAGUAGAAUGGAGAUGAGAAGGCGCAACGCAUCCGUAGGCGCGCCAACGAGCUCCGCCAAACUUCCCAGGAGUCCAGGAACCCGAU